rnacentral:rRNA from 1 species
AUGCAAGUCGAACGGAAACGAUGGGAGCUUGCUCCCAGGCGUCGAGUGGCAGACGGGUGAGUAACGCGUGGACAAUCUACCUCCGAGUGGGGGACAACACUUCGAAAGGGGUGCUAAUACCGCAUAAGACUACAGUCUCAUAAGGGACAGUGGUCAAAGCAGGGGAUCUUCGGACCUUGUGCUUGGAGAGGAGUUCGCGUCAGAUUAGCUAGUUGGUGGGGUAAUGGCCCACCAAGGCGACGAUCUGUAGCCGGCCUGAGAGGGUGAUCGGCCACACUGGAACUGAGACACGGUCCAGACUCCUACGGGAGGCAGCAGUGGGGAAUUUUGCGCAAUGGAGGAAACUCUGACGCAGCAAUGCCGCGUGGGUGAUGACGCAUCUUGGUGUGUAAAGCCCUGUCAGAUAGGAAUAAAGGUGUUAGGUUAAUACCCUUUCACUUUGAAUGUACUAUCAGAGGAAGCCCCGGCUAACUCCGUGCCAGCAGCCGCGGUAAUACGGAGGGGGCAAGCGUUAAUCGGAAUUACUGGGCGUAAAGCGCGCGUAGGCGGUUUGGUCAGUCGAAUGUGAAAGCCCAGGGCUUAACCUUGGAAUUGCGCUCGAUACUGCCUGACUAGAGUAUGGUAGAGGGAAGUGGAAUUUCCGGUGUAGC